rnacentral:rRNA from 1 species
UACGAAGGGGGCUAGCGUUGCUCGGAAUCACUGGGCGUAAAGCGCACGUAGGCGGAUUCUUAAGUCAGGGGUGAAAUCCUGGAGCUCAACUCCAGAACUGCCUUUGAUACUGGGAAGCUUGAGUCCGGGAGAGGUGAGUGGAACUCCGAGUGUAGAGGUGAAAUUCGUAGAUAUUCGGAAGAACACCAGUGGCGAAGGCGGCUCACUGGCCCGGUACUGACGCUGAGGUGCGAAAGCGUGGGGAGCAAACAGG